AAAAAAAUAUUACAAUUUUACUAUUAGUUCUAAUUCAUUCUUUCCUUCUUAUAUAUACCAAAUACUUUUAAUUACCUUCCAUUUAUUUACAUAUAAUUUCUGACAAAAUCAGGUUUUCUUUAGUCCACGUGGAGGUAUUUUCUUAAUUUGGGCAGGUAUACUUUCUAAUUAAAUUCCAUUUCCUUUUAUCGACAUGUCAGAAUUUCUUUAUAUUUAGGCUUUUGUGCGAAAUACCUAUCAGUUUAACUAUUUUACUUAAUUAUAGAUUUGUAUGGAAUUUGUGUCGGCCCUAUCUGUCAGCUUAACUUAUCUAUUGGCUUAACUCAUAUUUUACACAGUAAAUUAACCAGGAUGACAAUUGCGAAAUAAUUGCAACCAGUGUGUUAUGUAUAUUAUUUUUUUCGAUUGUUGUGAUGGUGUUUUCUUACUAUUUCUGUUUAAAAUUAUUUGACUAUAAGUUUUACAACUUAUAUAUUCUAAUUAAUUUUGUAAGUUGCUGCUUCACUUGAUUUUUGUACUACUGCAAUCGCAUAUUUUUUGGACAGCCGGUUAGUAAUAUUUUUUAACCGACUUUUUCUAUUAGUCAUAUUUCAUUCUUUCUUUAAUUCUUUACUGACUAUUGCCUUUUCUUUCAGCCAACUCUUGUACUCUUUCCUCGACUUAUACAACUCUCAGUUUUAUUGUAUCUAUGGUCACUUCUACUAUUGUUGAUUAACUGCUUAUACUUUUAUUUGUUUGUUACUCAAAAUUUUUUAAUUCUUCUUAUAUAUUUACUAUUUCAUUUUUCUUUAGCUUUUUUUUGUAAGAUUUCAAAUAUUUCUUCAGUUUAACUAUGCAUCAAAUUUUAUUCUCAUAUAGUUUUAUUUUUUUUACUCUUUUUUUUGUUCUCUAUGUUGCAAGUAUGAUAUGUUAUUUAUAUUGUAACGAAAAUAAUCAACUAUUAUAAGUUAAAUAUUGAAUAUUACCUACCCGCCGCAUCGCGCGGGUCACUGCACU
rnacentral:lncRNA from 1 species